GAUGAACGCUGGCGGCGUGCCUAAUACAUGCAAGUCGAGCGCACGGACGAGGUGCUUGUUCUUAUGAUGUUAGCGGCGGACGGGUGAGUAACACGUGGAUAACCUACCUUUAAGCCUGGGACAACAUCGGGAAACCGGUGCUAAUACCGGAUAAUAUUUUUAAACGCAUGGUUCAAAAGUGAAAGAUGCUCUUGCAGCACUCUAUAAAUAUAUCCGCUUGUCAUUACCAGGUGGGUAAGGUAACGCCUUACAAAGGCAAGAUUGCAUACCGGACCUGAGGGGGGGAUCGGCCACACGGGAACUGAGACACGGUCCAGACUCCUACGGGAGGCAGCAGUAGGGAAUCUUCGGCAAUGGGCGAAGGCCUGACGGGGCAACGCCGCGUGGGUGAUGAAGGUCUUCGGAUCGUAAAACUCUGUUAUUAGGGAAGAAGAUAUGUGUAAGUAACUGUGCACAUCGUGACGGUACCUAAUCAGAAAGCCACGGCUAACUACGUG
rnacentral:rRNA from 1 species